CGAUGAUGAUACGAUGAUAGAGUCUCGUUACGUAUCAGUUUUUUCCUAACAAUAAAUUCUCAGAAUGUUUGCAAACGUCAAUUCAAGGAGUUGACCUAUUCCUCUUAGGCUGCUUUGAAAAAUUGAAGUAUUUGUGUGAAACCUCGGCGAAUUCUUAGAGAAUUUGUUUUUAAGACCUAUUUCCUUCUCCUUUUUUACUCUAGCAAACCAAGUAUUCAAUUUUUAUCCACGAUUGAGUGAAAUGACAUCUUUACGGGGUCUUAGUAGAUUCAUUCGAGCAAUGAAACCAGUUUUCAUGACCAAAAGUCGCACGAUAUGGGCAUUCAAUUGCUCGUGGACUUAUUGAACCUGUAUGUAGGAUUUUUUAACUUUCAGCGAGUCCUUUAUACCAGUUGUUAGUUCUGAAAGAUUUCCAUUUUUCAAGUAUUUAAUGUGAAAAGAAAAAUUUAAUCUAUUCUUAUUUUAAUUUUUUCAGCGAUACCGAUGGGAAUAUUGCAGUACCCUUUCUACAAUCUUGGAUUAGAGGCCCUAAAUUAUGGCGCGAUUGGGUCUAUUCUUGGACACGAGCUCACUCAUGGAUUUGACGACACAGGUACGUGAUUUUAGUAUUCAAAAUAUAAAAUCGUAAGAGAAAUGCGUGACGCAUUACACCUACUUAAGGCGCGAGGCUCUUCGGGUGAUUGGGUCGUGAAGCGUUAGGGAGGGUAUCGGCGCACAGUGGAUCGAGUCAAUCAGAGAGGUUAGACGUGAAAUUUUUGACUGAAACUGCAAAUUUUGAUGUCCGUUUCCCCACAUUUUAAAUUUUAAAGGGAUCUUCUAGAAGAAUAUUUCUCGAGGAAACCAAUGAAACCACUUUUAGAACCUCACCGUAUAAAGGGAGUUUUAUGAGCGUUCAAAGUUUCCUUGUCCGGCAUCUCCCAAUUGACUCGAUCCAUUGUGCGGCGUACCCCAUUGCCAUGAUUUGAUGGGAUAAGGACAUUUUACCAUUAUAAAAACUCAUGGCCACCUGUUUAGUCAUUCCUUUUUUUUAUCGAGUAUUUCCUUAAUCAAUGUCUUGCGUAAGGCUUGAGGAUACUUUAGAAGAGUAUACAUCGUACUGAAGUUUCAAGACUAGGAAAUAAAUCGAUAUUUCAAAGGGU
rnacentral:lncRNA from 1 species